UGCGUAGGGUCCGAGCGUUGUCCGGAAUUAUUGGGCGUAAAGGGCUCGUAGGCGGUUUGUUGCGUCGGGAGUGAAAACCAGGUGCUUAACACCUGGCCUGCUUUCGAUACGGGUAGACUAGAGGCAUUCAGGGGAGAACGGAAUUCCUGGUGUAGCGGUGAAAUGCGCAGAUAUCAGGAGGAACACCGGUGGCGAAGGCGGAUCUCUGGGCCAUUACUGACGCUGAGGAGCGAAAGCGUGGGGAGCGAACAGG
rnacentral:rRNA from 1 species